UCACGCGUGUCUGUUUGUGUUGGGAGGUUGUGAGCGUGUUUGGGUCAGGAGUCUGGCUUUCUCCAGAGACGGACUGGUUUUAGCAUCCACCGCUGAAGGCGACAUGGUGAGGAUCUGGGAUGUGACCACUGGAGUCUGUCUGAAGAGGCUGCAGGGUCAUAAGGACUCGGCAUACGGCUGUGUGUUCACUCCUGAUGGGAAGCUUCUCACCAGCGGUUCUGAGCAGCUGGAUGUAGAAGAGGAUGAGGAAAACAGCACAGAGGAGAGAAGUGAGAGUUUAAACACAGAACAGGACAGUAAAGAUGAUGGACCAUGAGGACGGUCAGUACAUUGUGACCCACGGUGAAUGAAAACAGCGGUGGAACUACAUCCAGUUUUACUCAGAUAAUCAGCGAUUAUAAACUCACCGACACACACCUCCACAGUGAAUGUCAUGCGGCAUUCUGCAUGUCUGAAUGAACGCAUUUAUGAGACGAGCAUCCAUGAAAACAACCACAAUA